rnacentral:rRNA from 1 species
GGUUAAGCGACUAAGCGUACACGGUGGAUGCCCUGGCAGUCAGAGGCGAUGAAGGACGUGCUAAUCUGCGAAAAGCGCCGGCGAGGUGAUAUGAACCCUUGACCCGGCGAUGUCCGAAUGGGGAAACCCAGUGUGUUCCGACACACUAUCGUUAACUGAAUACAUAGGUUAACGAGGCGAACCGGGGGAACUGAAACAUCUAAGUACCCCGAGGAAAAGAAAUCAACCGAGAUUCCCCCAGUAGCGGCGAGCGAACGGGGAGCAGCCCGGAGUCUGAAUCAGCUUGUGUGUUAGUGGAACGGUCUGGAAAGUCCGACGGUACAGGGUGAUAGUCCCGUACACGAAAAUGCACAUGCUGUGAACUCGAAGAGUAGGGCGGGACACGUGGUAUCCUGUCUGAAUAUGGGGGGACCAUCCUCCAAGGCUAAAUACUCCUGACUGACCGAUAGUGAACCAGUACCGUGAGGGAAAGGCGAAAAGAACCCCGGCGAGGGGAGUGAAAAAGAACCUGAAACCGUGUACGUACAAGCAGUGGGAGCCUCUUUAUGGGGUGACUGCGUACCUUUUGUAUAAUGGGUCAGCGACUUAUAUUCUGUAGCAAGGUUAACCGUAUAGGGGAGCCGAAGGGAAACCGAGUCUUAACUGGGCGUUAAGUUGCAGGGUAUAGACCCGAAACCCGGUGAUCUAGCCAUGGGCAGGUUGAAGGUUGGGUAACACUAACUGGAGGACCGAACCGACUAAUGUUGAAAAAUUAGCGGAUGACCUGUGGCUGGGGGUGAAAGGCCAAUCAAACCGGGAGAUAGCUGGUUCUCCCCGAAAGCUAUUUAGGUAGCGCCUCGUGAACUCAUCUUCGGGGGUAGAGCACUGUUUCGGCUAGGGGGCCAUCCCGGCUUACCAACCCGAUGCAAACUACGAAUACCGAAGAAUGUUAUCACGGGAGACACACGGCGGGUGCUAACGUCCGUCGUGAAGAGGGAAACAACCCAGACCGCCAGCUAAGGUCCCAAAGUCAUGGUUAAGUGGGAAACGAUGUGGGAAGGCACAGACAGCCAGGAUGUUGGCUUAGAAGCAGCCAUCAUUUAAAGAAAGCGUAAUAGCUCACUGGUCGAGUCGGCCUGCGCGGAAGAUGUAACGGGGCUAAACCAUGCACCGAAGCUGCGGCAGCGACACUAUGUGUUGUUGGGUAGGGGAGCGUUCUGUAAGCCGUUGAAGGUGUGCUGUGAGGCAUGCUGGAGGUAUCAGAAGUGCGAAUGCUGACAUAAGUAACGAUAAAGCGGGUGAAAAGCCCGCUCGCCGGAAGACCAAGGGUUCCUGUCCAACGUUAAUCGGGGCAGGGUGAGUCGACCCCUAAGGCGAGGCCGAAAGGCGUAGUCGAUGGGAAACAGGUUAAUAUUCCUGUACUUGGUGUUACUGCGAAGGGGGGACGGAGAAGGCUAUGUCAGCCGGGCGACGGUUGUCCCGGUUUAAGCAUGUAGGCGGAGGUUCCAGGUAAAUCCGGUACCUUAUUAACGCUGAGGUGUGAUGACGAGGCACUACGGUGCUGAAGUGAUAAAUGCCCUGCUUCCAGGAAAAGCCUCUAAGCAUCAGGUAACACGAAAUCGUACCCCAAACCGACACAGGUGGUCAGGUAGAGAAUACCAAGGCGCUUGAGAGAACUCGGGUGAAGGAACUAGGCAAAAUGGUGCCGUAACUUCGGGAGAAGGCACGCUGAUAUGUAGGUGAAGCCCCUGCGGGCGGAGCUGAAAUCAGUCGAAGAUACCAGCUGGCUGCAACUGUUUAUUAAAAACACAGCACUGUGCAAACACGAAAGUGGACGUAUACGGUGUGACGCCUGCCCGGUGCCGGAAGGUUAAUUGAUGGGGUUAGCGGCAACGCGAAGCUCUUGAUCGAAGCCCCGGUAAACGGCGGCCGUAACUAUAACGGUCCUAAGGUAGCGAAAUUCCUUGUCGGGUAAGUUCCGACCUGCACGAAUGGCGUAAUGAUGGCCAGGCUGUCUCCACCCGAGACUCAGUGAAAUUGAACUCGCUGUGAAGAUGCAGUGUACCCGCGGCAAGACGGAAAGACCCCGUGAACCUUUACUAUAGCUUGACACUGAACACUGGUCCUUGAUGUGUAGGAUAGGUGGGAGGCUUUGAAGCGUGGACGCCAGUCUGCGUGGAGCCAACCUUGAAAUACCACCCUUUAAUGGCUGGUGUUCUAACGUGGACCCGUAAUCCGGGUUGCGGACAGUGUCUGGUGGGUAGUUUGACUGGGGCGGUCUCCUCCCAAAGAGUAACGGAGGAGCACGAAGGUUGGCUAAUCCUGGUCGGACAUCAGGAGGUUAGUGCAAUGGCAUAAGCCAGCUUGACUGCGAGCGUGACGGCGCGAGCAGGUGCGAAAGCAGGUCAUAGUGAUCCGGUGGUUCUGAAUGGAAGGGCCAUCGCUCAACGGAUAAAAGGUACUCCGGGGAUAACAGGCUGAUACCGCCCAAGAGUUCAUAUCGACGGCGGUGUUUGGCACCUCGAUGUCGGCUCAUCACAUCCUGGGGCUGAAGUAGGUCCCAAGGGUAUGGCUGUUCGCCAUUUAAAGUGGUACGCGAGCUGGGUUUAGAACGUCGUGAGACAGUUCGGUCCCUAUCUGCCGUGGGCGCUGGAGAAUUGAGGGGGGCUGCUCCUAGUACGAGAGGACCGGAGUGGACGCAUCACUGGUGUUCGGGUUGUCAUGCCAAUGGCACUGCCCGGUAGCUAAAUGCGGAAGAGAUAAGUGCUGAAAGCAUCUAAGCACGAAACUUGCCCCGAGAUGAGUUCUCCCUGAGACUUUAAGUCUCCUGAAGGAACGUUGAAGACGACGACGUUGAUAGGUCGGGUGUGUAAGCGCAGCGAUGCGUUGAGCUAACCGAUACUAAUGAACCGUGAGGCUUAACCUU